CACACCGCCCGUCACACCAUGGGAGUUGGAUUGACCCGAAGGUGGUGAGCUAACCCGCAAGGGAGGCAGCCAACCAUGGUCGGUUCAGCGACUGGGGUG
rnacentral:rRNA from 1 species